ACCGCAGCCAGGGCCAGAAAGUGCAGAAGGUUAUGGUACAGCCCAUCAACCUCUCUUCAGAUAUUUACAAAACAGAUCCCGGAUUCAGGUAUGGCUCUAUGAGCAAGUGAAUAUGCGGAUAGAAGGCUGUAUCAUUGGUUUUGAUGAAUAUAUAAACCUUGUAUUAGAUGAUGCAGAAGGGAUUCAUUCUAAAACAAAGUCAAGAAAACAACUGGGUUGA
rnacentral:lncRNA from 1 species